rnacentral:rRNA from 2 species
GCCAUGCAUGUCUCAGUGCAGCCGUACGCGCUCGCGCGUCUAGGUGAAACCGCGAAAGGCUCAUUAAAUCAGUUAUGGUUCCUUGGAUCGUACCACUCAGUUACUUGGAUAACUGUGGUAAUUCUAGAGCUAAUACAUGCCGACAGAGUUCCGACCGCCUCGUGCGGGAGGAACGCUUUUAUUAGAUCAAAACCCAUCGGCGUGGUUUCGGCCACGCCGACAACACUCGGUCCCCUUCGCGGGGGCCGACCAAGUGGUGACUCUGAAUAACUUUGUGCUGAUCGCACGGUCUCAGUGCUGGCGAUGCAUCUUUCAAAUGUCUGCCUUAUCAACUGUCGAUGGUAGGUUAUGCGCCUACCAUGGUGGUAACGGGUGACGGGGGAUUAGGGUUCGAUCCCGGAGAGGGAGCCUGAGAAACGGCUACCACAUCCAAGGAAGGCAGCAGGCACGCAAAUUACCCACUCCCAGCUCAGGGGAGGUAGUGACGAAAUAUAACGAUACGGGACUCAUCCGAGGCCUCGUAAUCGGAAUGAGUACACUGUAAAACGUUUAACGAGGAUCCAUUGGAGGGCA